CGCUUCUUUAAAUUAUUGGGGAAAAACAUAUAGCAAAUAAAUUCUUAUAUUCUUUGUUUAAAUAUGUUAAUCAUAUGUGUUUUAAGGAGACCUGGCGUAGUUUUGAGCGUUCAUUCACAAUAGCUACAAGGCAUAACGAUUUGUCAGCAUUCUUAAAACAAGUACUAUUGGGAACGAGUUGCUGUUGUUGUGCUCUUGCCUCGGUUAUUUAAAGUUAUCCUACUUAGUGUUCUUUUGUAACUUUUUUAUUAGCUGAAAGCUGACUAGGAUUAAAAAAAUAGAAUAUAUCUGCAAUAUUUAUAUAAAAAACAAAUUAAAUAUCUGAAAUCUUAAAGAAACAUCCAUGUAAUAUGUCCAUUGGCGGCAAACAAACACGCAGAAGAUGGAACGUGCAAGAAAUCAAGAUCUUGUUGAAAUGCUAUUUAGCACACAAGGAGGAAUUUGUGCAUUCCCACAAGCGGUUAGCGUACAAACAUGUUUUGGAUGAUAUGAUAGCAGAAGGUUUUGAUGAAUCGUCAAUAACUAUACUCACCUGAGAAAGCAAAAUGCGUAGCCUUCUUCAUACUUAUAAAAUGGUGAAAGAAAAUGAUGACAACAAUACACGUACCACGUCCUAUCAUACUCAAUACAUGUCCGAUAUGGAGACAAUUUUUGGGGAAAGUUAUCUUGCCGAAAGUGAUCACAUAUUGCAAAUUGGUAUAGAUUCAGAGGAAGCCUUUGAUAUAUCCAGAAGAGCUUCAGAUGGUCCAUCGCAAAGAGGGGAAUCGUCUCCACUACAGGAUUCCUCGUUUUCCAAACCUGAAUUAGAUAUUAAAGAAUCACCACCUUCUUCACCUUAUUCCCAAACACAUUUAAAAAUAUCUCCUCCGCCCUCUCCUACGCCACAACUUCCGACGACAACAACAUUACUAUCUUCCCAAAUGAAGCCGGCAGCUAAAUCGAAGCUCUGUGAAGGAAAGAGUCGUCGCGGAUACAUAACACGUGAUAUUUAUUAUAAGGAAAAAUUGAGGAUUAUAAAAAAAGUGGCCGAACAUAAAAUUAGAGAGCGAAGGCGAAUGACUAAUCUAGUUGUAGAAGCCAUUAAAGAAAUUGAACAUAAAAAACUGAAACUUUUCGAAGCAUACUUAAAAUCAUAGAUCUAUUUUAAUUAUUCUUGCAACAUAUAACCAUUUUAAAAGAUAUUUAAGUUGCUGUUUGAAAUAUUCGGCGCUUUACCUAUCAAAAAAAAAAAAAAAAAAUUAUUAAACUGAAUUAAUAUAUUUAUAUAUAAAUAAUUAACAUGCUAACAUGAAUUUUAUUAAUAUCGACUUGAUAUCAGGACUUAAA